rnacentral:rRNA from 1 species
CUUGCUUCUCUUGAGAGCGGCGGACGGGUGAGUAAUGCCUAGGAAUCUGCCUGGUAGUGGGGGAUAACGUCCGGAAACGGACGCUAAUACCGCAUACGUCCUACGGGAGAAAGCAGGGGACCUUCGGGCCUUGCGCUAUCAGAUGAGCCUAGGUCGGAUUAGCUAGUUGGUGGGGUAAUGGCUCACCAAGGCGACGAUCCGUAACUGGUCUGAGAGGAUGAUCAGUCACACUGGAACUGAGACACGGUCCAGACUCCUACGGGAGGCAGCAGUGGGGAAUAUUGGACAAUGGGCGAAAGCCUGAUCCAGCCAUGCCGCGUGUGUGAAGAAGGUCUUCGGAUUGUAAAGCACUUUAAGUUGGGAGGAAGGGCAGUAAAUUAAUACUUUGCUGUUUUGACGUUACCGACAGAAUAAGCACCGGCUAACUCUGUGCCAGCAGCCGCGGUAAUACAGAGGGUGCAAGCGUUAAUCGGAAUUACUGGGCGUAAAGCGCGCGUAGGUGGUUCGUUAAGUUGGAUGUGAAAUCCCCGGGCUCAACCUGGGAACUGCAUUCAAAACUGACGAGCUAGAGUAUGGUAGAGGGUGGUGGAAUUUCCUGUGUAGCGGUGAAAUGCGUAGAUAUAGGAAGGAACACCAGUGGCGAAAGCGACCACCUGGACUGAUACUGACACUGAGUGCGAAAGCGUGGGGAGCAAACAGGAUUAGAUACCCUGGUAGUCCACGCCGUAAACGAUGUCAACUAGCCGUUGGGAGCCUUGAGCUCUUAGUGGCGCAGCUAACGCAUUUAAGUGGACGCCUGGGAGUACGCCGCAAGGUUAAAACUCAAAUGAAUUG